UCUGGUAUGAAAGGUUUGACGAGAUAUUAACUGUUUCAUAAAAAUUUUUAAUAGAAUUUUAUUUUUUAGUCAAAAAGCUAAAAUAUAUUUAAAAGACGAGAAGACCCUAUAAAUCUUUAUAUUUAGAUUAUUUUAUUUUUAUAGAUUUUUUUUGUUAUAAUAAUUAAUAAUAUUUUAUUGGGGUGAUAUUAAAAUUUAAUAAACUUUUAAUUAUUAAAAUCAUUAAUUAAUGAAUAGUUGAUCCGUUAUUAGUGAUUAAAAAAAUAAGUUACCUUAGGGAUAACAGCGA
rnacentral:rRNA from 1 species